rfam:Schistosoma mansoni, Puerto Rico, WGS project CABG01000000 data, contig: 0097
GUCCAACUGAAGAGUCUCAAAUAGGACAAAAUGAGCGUCCUAGAU